AGUGACCCCGGUCUAACCACCGGGAUGUUCAUAACCCUUUGUUGUCCGACUCUGUUGCCUCCGGGGCGACCCUGCCUUCGGGCGGGGGCUCCGGGUGGACACUUCAAACUCUUGCGUAACUUUGCAGUCUGAGUAAACUUAAUUAAUAAAUUAAAACUUUUAACAACGGAUCUCUUGGUUCUGGCAUCGAUGAAGAACGCAGCGAAAUGCGAUAAGUAAUGUGAAUUGCAGAAUUCAGUGAAUCAUCGAAUCUUUGAACGCACAUUGCGCCCCCUGGUAUUCCGGGGGGCAUGCCUGUUCGAGCGUCAUUUCACCACUCAAGCCUCGCUUGGUAUUGGGCAACGCGGUCCGCCGCGUGCCUCAAAUCGACCGGCUGGGUCUUCUGUCCCCUAAGCGUUGUGGAAACUAUUCGCUAAAGGGUGCUCGGGAGGCUACGCCGUAAAACAAACCCAUUUCUAAGGUUGACCUCGGAUCAGGUAGGGAUACCCGCUGAACUUAAGCAUAUC
rnacentral:rRNA from 2 species